UGGGGGAUAUUGCACAAUGGGGGAAACCCUGAUGCAGCGACGCCGCGUGAGGGAAGAAGGUUUUCGGAUUGUAAACCUCUGUCUUCGGUGACGAAACAAGACGGUAGCCGAGGAGGAAGCCACGGCUAACUACGUGCCAGCAGCCGCGGUAAUACGUAGGUGGCAAGCGUUGUCCGGAAUUACUGGGUGUAAAGGGAGCGUAGGCGGGAGUGCAAGUUGAAUGUGAAAACUAUGGGCUCAACCCAUAGUUGCGUUCAAAAUCUGCAUUUCUUGAGUGAAGUAGAGGUAAGCGGAAUUCCUAGUGUAGCGGUGAAAUGCGUAAAUAUUAGGAGGAACACCAGUGGCGAAGGCGGCUUACUGGGCUUUAACUGACGCUGAGGCUCGAAAGCGUGGGUAGCAAAACAGGAUUAGAUACCC
rnacentral:rRNA from 1 species